rnacentral:lncRNA from 1 species
GGGCCAAGAAGCUUGUGCCACUGUAGCCUGUUAAUACCCAGGCAGAAGUCUGCUACAAGGUUUUUUUUUUGGAACCGGGGAUUGAACUCAGGUCUUUAGGCUUUCCAGGCAAGCAGUGGAACCACUGAGCUAAAUCCCCGGCCUUACAAGUUUUGUUUGUUUAGUUACUUGAUUAGUUUGUUUUGGGAGAUGGAAUUGUUGCCUAAGCUGACCUGGAAGUCUGGGGCUCAAGCGAUCUUCCUGCCUCAGGCUCCCUAGCAGCUGGGACUACAGGGUCUCACUAAGUUGCUAAACUGCCCAGGCUAGGCUUGAACUUGUAAUCUUCCUGGCUCAGCCGCCCAGACAAAGUAGAUAUCUGCUUCUCCUGCUCCCCAAGCCACACUGCUCUUCUAUGCAGAGUGAAGAUGAUGUUCAUCUUGCUGGGUCUACAGAAGGCCAGAGCUGGAGAUGUGGUUUCUGGGUGUCACCCUGUACAUGCUGAUCUUCGAGGAGAACCCCUUUGUGAGGUGGAGGAGACCAUGGAGGCCGCCCUCCACCCCCCGUACCUGGUGUUCCAAGAACUCAUGAGCCUUGGCGUCUAGGCUGUGGCAGUCUGUCCCUGAGCAGCGCACCAUCUUGGAGAAGACGAUGACAGACUCUGUGGGUGACACAGCCUGUGAACCUGGCUGAAUAUACCUGGGAGGAGGUGCGGAACCAACAAGCUGGAGGGCAGCCUGCUGUCUAUUGGGAGUCUGUAGCUCGGGACAGGCAGCAGGAGCCUGGAGUAAAAGUGGCCUGGGCUAGGCUCAUGGGGACCCCUCUCCACUGGCCAGCUGAACUGAUGCUUCCUGCUGCUCAUCUCCACUCAGUUCAUGGGUUUCUGGCCUCUUCCACUUGGAGAAAGUAAAUUCUUAACAACUGGUCCCUUUACCGCCUAUAAACCCAGGUGCAAGUUUGACAAGAGCUAGAGCAAAAGCCAGCGGUACUGUAUUUUUUAAAGUUUAUAAAAUGGACUUGGAAUUCAUGUUUUUUUGUGACUUUGAAAAGCAUUCUAGGGCAUAAUUACUUUAUUUUUAUUUUUUUUAUUAUUUAAAUUUUUUUGGGGGGGUACUAGGAUCGAACUCGGGACCUUGUGCUUGCAAGGCAGGCGCCAGAACCACUGAG